GUGUUUGCUUUAGCAGCACAUACAUUAAAAUUGGAACAAUACAGAGAAGAUUAAUUAGCCUGUUCCCUACACAAGGAUAUCACGAAAAUUCAUGAAGAAUCAAGUAAAAAC
ensembl:snRNA U6 U6 spliceosomal RNA